rnacentral:rRNA from 1 species
CCUACGGGGGGCAGCAGUGGGGAAUAUUGGACAAUGGGGGCAACCCUGAUCCAGCCAUGCCGCGUGUGUGAAGAAGGCCCUCGGGUUGUAAGGCACUUUCAGUGAGGAAGAACGCCUGGUGGUUAAUACCCAUCAGGAAAGACAUCACUCACAGAAGAAGCACCGGCUAACUCCGUGCCAGCAGCCGCGGUAAUACGGAGGGUGCGAGCGUUAAUCGGAAUUACUGGGCGUAAAGCGCGCGUAGGUGGCUUGAUAAGCCGGUUGUGAAAGCCCCGGGCUCAACCUGGGAACGGCAUCCGGAACUGUCAAGCUAGAGUGCAGGAGAGGAAGGUAGAAUUCCCGGUGUAGCGGUGAAAUGCGUAGAGAUCGGGAGGAAUACCAGUGGCGAAGGCGGCCUUCUGGACUGACACUGACACUGAGGUGCGAAAGCGUGGGUAGCAAACAGGAUUAGAUACCCUGGUAGUC